rnacentral:lncRNA from 1 species
AAAUUUCCCCGUCAGCCUCACCAACUCUCCGACACUUGCAGGUGCUCCCCGGGAACUAGGAAAGGGACACAUCCUGCUCCUGUCCAGCUGAGGAAAAAUGCAGUAGGAAAACUGAAAAUGUGUAGGGAUGAGGAGACGCACCAGAAAAAAAGGAGUAAGGCGAUGGGAAGUGUAUAGAAUAGAGAUGCAGAGUAAAAGACACCAAGCCCCGCGGGCGAGCGCAGCAGCUCCAAGCAUCCGGCCGCUACCCUGCCGCCUCCCCGGCCCGGCUCCCGCGAUGCAGCCUGGCCUGUGAGCCGCUGGUCACUCUAGGACGCUCCGCCGCACAACUACCUCAGCGCCACCCCCUCCCGCCGCACCACUCUGCCCGUCGCACAGCUCUGCCUGCAGGUGAGUCCCGACCAGUUUGGGCCGGGGGGGUAUCCAGGCGCCCUGGGACACGCCCUGCGCCCCUCAGUGUCGGGGCCUUUGUCUGUCUCCGCGGGCGACCGCUGGGACUGCGUUCCCGGUUCCCGAUUGGUUGCCGCUCGCCGGUUGAUCGUGACGUCGCCCUAUUUGCAUAUGACAUUGGGACGUCACCAAGGCGCCAGCACCACCUCCCAAGCUUGGGUCGCUUGUCCUCCCCGUGACCUGGUGGGCACUGUGUCAGCCUGGGCCAAGAGUAAGAGACGCUGGACAGCAAGCGGGGUUCGAGGGGCCUCAGCGGGACUUCUGGGACUGGGCUCAGGUCUCUGUUUCCCUGGUUUCUUCUCCAGACCAGAGAGAAUGUCCGACAGCACGCUAGGUCUGGGGGGUUGAGGAGUUCGUCAGGAGGGUUCAAGGCGACCUCAGACUCCAGGUCUUUGGGUCAGCAGCCAGAUGGUGGCGAAUCCCCUUUUGCAUCCAACUUCCGCCUUCAACAGACUACCAUAAUAACAUUCCCCCUAAUCCCCGCCUUGUGUGCAGUGCCUUAGUUGAUGUCACGCCCAGCUUCCAAAUGAGGAGGUCUUAGACCCCAUUUCACGGAAGGGGAAACUGAGGCCCAGAGAGAGGAAGUAGUUUACUCUAAGUCACACAGCCAAUUAGAGUCAAGUUACCAGAUGGAUGCAUUAGCUGUGGGCAUAUACAUAGCAGGCACUCAAUGUAAGUAACAAGCUACACAAACUUCUUCCACUGGGCACCACUCCGAUUUGACAGGGCUCUUUGGUCUCCUCACUCCUGGCCCUUUUCCCAGGAGGUCUCUGGAGACUGGGUCCUCUUUGGUGGCCCUGACCCGCUUUGUCCUCAUUCUACCUUGGAGCCGCAUAAAAUCAGUGCUUCCUAGCUGUUUUGAUCAUAGAAAGGUGAGUCAUUGGCUGGUUGGUUAAGGUAGAACCUUAGGUGUAAAGUUUCACCCCAUUGGCCCCUCAUCAUCUCCCCACCCUAGACUUGUCAGCUAGGAGGGAUGUACUUGGCCCAGUGCUCAGUGACUGCAGAGGUUGUGCGGGCCCCUUUCUCUGUUCAGAGAGGGUUAGGAGAAGGGGACAGAAGAGAGUUUCCCCCUGACUUUCCAAGUGGAUGGGCCUACAGGCUGGACCCGGAGCCCCAUCUCAGCCUGGGGUUUUGCUCAAGGAGGGGCUCAGCUAGGGAUGGCUUAGGGUGUGAGUGUUAUUCUGGGCACAGCUGCUGUAGUUAUUAAAGGGAAUGAUUCCUUCUGGAGCAGAGCUGGGAACCUGAGAACUAGGAAGUUGGCAGGGCUGGGAAAGAAAAUCCAAGAGGCUCUCCCAGUGGUCAAGAGAGGGGACAGGCACUGACUGGCUGGUGCUGCUAUCACUCCUGGCUGUCACUGACUUGUGUGACCUAGGUCAGGGAUCUUCUCAUCUGAGUCUCCCUUGCCUUAAUGUCUAUAACUGAGGAGGCUCAGUGCAGGGUCCUGGUACAUCUUGAUGCUAGCAACCCCAGGCUUUUCUGUGGCUGGGCAGGGGGACAAUGACUGGAUCAAGGUCCCUGUCUCACCUUGUCCCCAGUGGCUCAUUCAUAUUCUUGGAGAUUAUCUGUUGAAGCUUUCCUGACUAUGUACAAUCUGGACUGAGUGCUUAGUGACCUAAUGCUUGGCUUACCCUACCACUAGCUGUGGGUUUGAGUAUUGAUUUAUGUUCUGUCUCUCUCAAUCUCAGGCUGUAAAAUGGUCUGGGAGCAGAUCUAUAGCCACAAUCUUAAUGUCUCCAUUCCUGGAGCAGGGAGCCUCCUUCCCUUAUCUUCACCUAGGGAAAGACUUGAUGAAGGCUUGGGUUCUGGUCCAACCGCUCAGUGUUUAUCCUUAAGGGCUCCUGGGACCUGACAACUCUCUCCUUCCCUCAUCAUCUCCCACUGAUCUGCUGUUUCACUGGGGCCAGGCAACCUGAUCUUCCUCCAAGCCAGGGAAAAGAGGAGAAUUCCUACUGACUCUUCAAGGUCCAGCUUGGAUGUUGGACCCUAAGGAGAUCUUCCCUGACAAAAGACCUUCCUUCUAUGUCCCUAAAUAAAUAAAGCACCUUAUAACUCGUUUAUUAAGUUUAUUGAGUGCUUGCUUUGUGCCCAGGGACUGUUCUAGACACUUUAUAAGUGUUUAGCUCAUUUAGUUCUUAGUAGAGUCUAGAGGAGGAUAGAUUUAUAAUUUCAUUUAAUUAGUGUGUGUGUUUGUGUGUGUGUGGGGGGGGUGGGG